rnacentral:rRNA from 1 species
AUUGAACGCUGGCGGCAGGCCUAACACAUGCAAGUCGAACGGUAGCACAGAGAGCUUGCUCUUGGGUGACGAGUGGCGGACGGGUGAGUAAUGUCUGGGAAACUGCCCGAUGGAGGGGGAUAACUACUGGAAACGGUAGCUAAUACCGCAUAACGUCUUCGGACCAAAGUGGGGGACCUUCGGGCCUCACACCAUCGGAUGUGCCCAGAUGGGAUUAGCUAGUAGGUGGGAUAAUGGCUCACCUAGGCGACGAUCCCUAGCUGGUCUGAGAGGAUGACCAGCCACACUGGAACUGAGACACGGUCCAGACUCCUACGUGAGGCAGCAGUGGGGAAUAUUGCACAAUGGGCGCAAGCCUGAUGCAGCCAUGCCGCGUGUAUGAAGAAGGCCUUCGGGUUGUAAAGUACUUUCAGCGGGGAGGAAGGCGUUAAGGUUAAUAACCUUGGCGAUUGACGUUACCCGCAGAAGAAGCACCGGCUAACUCCGUGCCAGCCGCCGCGGUAA